rnacentral:rRNA from 1 species
GAUGAACGCUGGCGGCGUGCUUAAUACAUGCAAGUCGAGCGAACGGACGUGAAUCUUGCUUCGCUCUUGUUAGCGGCGGACGGGUGAGUAACACGUGGAUAACAAACCUAUAAGACUGCGAUUACUUCGGGAAACCGGAGCUAAUACCGGAUAAUAUUAUCAACCGCAGGGUUGAAAAGUGAAUGAUGGUCUUGCUGUCACUUAUAGAUGGAUCCGGGUCGCAUUAGCUAGUUGGUAAGGUAACGGCUUACUAAGGCAACGAUGCAUAGGCAACCUGAGAGGAUGAUCGGCCACACUGGGACUGAGUCACCAUCCAGACUACAACGGGGGACAGCAGUAGGGAAUUGUCCGGAAUGGGCGAAAGCAUAACGGAGCAAAGGCGCGUAGGUGAUGAAGGCCGUGGAGUCGUAAGCCUCUGUUUUUAGGGAUAGACAUAUUUGUAAGUAACUGAGCACGACUUGACGGUACCUAAGCAAGAAGCCUCGGCUAACUACGUG